CUAUUGAUAGAAUCAUAGACUACAAAUUUUGAAGAGCCACGUGCAAAACCAAGUUAUCUGUUGUGUCUUCAAAGAAACCCGGAUUUCUAUGACAGUUCUAAUUGUAGAUGGCUAUGACUAGAGAUGUGAUAAUUCUACAAAUCCUCACAAGCAUACAUUUAUUAAUUAUUUAUCCAUAUUUUGAAAAUUCAAACGUAUUAGCUAGUAGGGAGAAUUAUACUUUAUUUAGUGAUAUUUUUAAGUAGAUAUGUUGUCUAUCAAAAUUGCCAAAAUAUAAUUUUCUUUUUGAUUUACUCUUACAAAGAUUGAAUCAAUUUUCACAUUUACAACUAUGGCAUUAGUUAUCUAUUAAGAACCUAGUAUGGGAGGAAUGAUGUGUUCCUUACUCAUUAAGAACAUGAGUUUGUUAUUCUCAUGAGUUAGUAUUCAUUAAUAUUGCUAGCGAGUUUAUGUUUAUUUAUCAAAAAGAUUUGAGUGAAUGAUAUAUUUGUAUAGUAAAAAUAGUUUGUGUUUUUAUUAAAUAUUAUCAAUUUUUAUUAGUAAAUUUAUUGGAUUGUUUACUUCAUUUUAAGAAAGUAUUGUAAAUCAUAAAUAUCCACAUGUGUUGUAUUCAACAAUUUUUAUUUCGGAAUAAACAAUUGCAAAGCAAAGGCACUAACGAUUCUCCUACCUUGAAUAAUGUGGAGUUGCAUAGUCUUUUAUACAAUACAACAAUUCCUGGACAGAUCAUUAGGAAUCCAACAAGAGUUGUAGCGAUUGAGUCCGGACAUUUUUCAUGUACUACGACUUGACUUGAACUCGUUACUAUUAGGAAUCGGACUGAAAGAACUUAGACAUGACUUGAACUGGUAAAAGUUGGAUUCAAAAAUAGCUCUGGGUCUAACUACUUCUUUUAUCCAUCGUGAGAUCUUGCAAACGACUAUACAAUCAUAAAUGUUGGUAAUUUGAAUGACCAAUGUAGUAAUUAAAUAAGGGAAGUUAA
rnacentral:lncRNA from 1 species